rnacentral:rRNA from 1 species
UACGUAGGGCGCGAGCGUUGUCCGGAAUUACUGGGCGUAAAGCGUGCGCAGGCGGUUUUGUAAGCCGGAUGUGAAAUCCCCGGGCUUAACCUGGGAAUGGCAUUCGGGACUGCAAGGCUGGAGUGCGGCAGAGGAGACUGGAAUUCCUGGUGUAGCAGUGAAAUGCGUAGAUAUCAGGAGGAACACCGAUGGCGAAGGCAGGUCUCUGGGCUGACACUGACGCUCAUGCACGAAAGCGUGGGGAGCAAACAGG